rnacentral:rRNA from 1 species
UACGAAGGGGGCUAGCGUUGCUCGGAAUCACUGGGCGUAAAGGGUGCGUAGGCGGGUCUUUAAGUCAGGGGUGAAAUCCUGGAGCUCAACUCCAGAACUGCCUUUGAUACUGGAUGUCUCGAGACCGGGAGAGGUGAGUGGAAUUCCGAGUGUAGAGGUGAAAUUCGUAGAUAUUCGGAAGAACACCAGUGGCGAAGGCGGCUCACUGGCCCGGUUCUGACGCUGAGGUGCGAAAGCGUGGGGAGCAAACAG